UAGCGAAUAGUGAUAAAACUCACAUUAAGUUUCGGCCUUAAAGACGAACAAUAAGUUUCUUCGCUGA
rnacentral:tRNA from 1 species